rnacentral:rRNA from 1 species
GCCGUUAGGAAACGACGAAUAACUACCCUAUGACAAUAAACCUCCUCGCAUGAGGAGCUUAUCAAAGAUUUAUCGGUGUAAGAUGGACUCGCGUCUGAUUAGCUAGUUGGUGAGGUAACGGCCCACCAAGGCGACGAUCAGUAGCCGGCUUGAGAGAGUGUACGGCCACAUUGGGACUGAGACACGGCCCAGACUCCUACGGGAGGCAGCAGAC